GACCUCGGAUCAGGAGGAUCCCGCGAC
rnacentral:rRNA from 1 species